UACGAGGGGGGCAAGCGUUGUUCGGAGUUACUGGGCGUAAAGGGUGCGUAGGCGGCUUCUUAAGUCUGGUGUGAAAUCUCCCGGCUCAACUGGGAGGGUGCGCCGGAUACUGAGGGGCUAGAGUGUGGGAGAGGAAAGUGGAAUUCCUGGUGUAGCGGUGAAAUGCGUAGAUAUCAAGAGGAAUACCGGAGGCGAAGGCGGAUAGCUGGGCCAACAUUGACGCUGAGACCCGAAAGCGUGGGGAUCAAACAGG
rnacentral:rRNA from 1 species